UGCAAGUCGAGCGAUGAAGCACCUUCGGGUGUGAAUUAGCGGCGAACGGGUGAGGAACACGUGAAGAAUCUGCCUUCAACUCUGGGAUAACUCCGGGAAACCGGGGCUAAUACCGGAUAUGAGCCUUGAUCGCAUGAUCGGGGCUGGAAAGUUUUUCGGUUGAAGAUGACUUCGCGGCCUAUCAGCUUGUUGGUGAGGUAAUGGCUCACCAAGGCGACGACGGGUAGCCGGCCUGAGAGGGCGACCGGCCACACUGGGACUGAGACACGGCCCAGACUCCUACGGGAGGCAGCAGUGGGGAAUAUUGGGCAAUGGAGGAAACUCUGACCCAGCGACGCCGCGUGAGGGAUGAAGGCCUUCGGGUUGUAAACCUCUUUCAGUAGGGAAGAAGCGAAAGUGACGGUACCUACAGAAGAAGCACCGGCUAACUAUGUGCCAGCAGCCGCGGUAAUACAUAGGGUGCAAGCGUUGUCCGGAAUUAUUGGGCGUAAAGAGCUCGUAGGUGGUUCGAUACGUCGGAUGUGAAAAUCAGGGGCUCAACCCCUGACCUGCAUCCGAUACGGUCGAGCUAGAGUUUGGUAGGGGAGACUGGAAUUCCUGGUGUAGCGGUGGAAUGCGCAGAUAUCAGGAGGAACACCGAUGGCGAAGGCAGGUCUCUGGGCCAAUACUGACACUGAGGAGCGAAAGCGUGGGGAGCGAACAGGAUUAGAUACCCUGGUAGUCCACGCCGUAAACGGUGGGCGCUAGUUGUGCGAACCUUCCACGGUUCGUGCGACGCAGCUAACGCAUUAAGCGCCCCGCCUGGGGAGUACGAUCGCAAGAUUAAAA
rnacentral:rRNA from 1 species